ACCUAAAUUUUUGAGGUAUUACGUGUAGCGCCACGAGGCAUAAUCGUAAGGAUUAAGAAUGAGACUAUCAGAUUAAGACUGGAUAAUAAGGACUUAGACCGAAGCGGGUCUAUUGGAAUUAUCGUAAAAUAAUAAAUUUAAUUGAAAAUUAUUAUGCGAUCAAUUGGAUUUAAUCGGGACUAAAGGGAAUAAAAUAAAAUAAGUUGGAAAGCCCGAGCUAAUAAUUUUCAUGCCAAGAUCCGUGAAUAAUUUUUAGAAAUUAUGGAAAAAGUUUCAUAACUUUCAGACAUUGUUUAGUUAAGCAUGUCAGUUAAUAGAGAAGUUGAGGUAAAAUGUAAAUUAGCCACUUUAAGGACUAAAGUGGACUUUUAACCACAAACUUCCGGAGGAAGUUGUGUUUUACUCUAUUUUCUCAAGAUAAGAAAAUAAUAUCGAUAAAGUUGUUAUCAAUGGUCAAUAAAAUGAAAAUUGGACGAAAAAGUGAGAAAAAGUGCAAGUUAGCUCAAAAUGGAAAUUUGAGCGUUUUUGGCCAAAAUUGCCAAAAUAUAUUAUUGGAAAGUGAUAUUAAAAGAUAUGAGACUAAUGUUAUUUAUUUGGAAAAUAAAUAAUACGGAACUUAUCGAGAAUCGAAUGAUUAAAAGAUUAGUGCACUAAAUUGUACGAAAGAUAAGCUAGAAAGUGAAGAGAAAGGAGGUGACAACUUCAAGGACCUAAGUGGACUUUUUACCCACUUAUUAUCAUCUUUUAUGAAUGAAUAAUCAUUCAUUUAAACACAAAAUUGCAGCAAACCAAAGGUGAAAUCCGUAGCUCUUCAUUUCCAAAUUCUCCAAAAAUCUUCAUAUCUUUUUCGUUUCUCAACGAAAUUGAGCGAUUCUUGCGGCCACGGAACGAGGAAGUGAUUAUCUACAACUCUAUGGCAUCAAUUUAAGUGUAAUUGUAAGCUUGUAAUGAAGGUUAUGGAUGAUGAAAUUGGAGCUUUAAACCUACGGCAAUAGAGACAUCAUCAAGACUCGACGAAGCGACUAUCGACAAGGCUCGAAGGGAACGGAUCGAGAUGUCUUCGUGUUUAUUUGAAGAAUUUUGAUAGCAAGUGGGAUGGUAUGAUAUGAUUUGAAGAGUUAAGCUUCCGAAGUUUUAAUUCUCGGAAGUCAUUUGCACAAGAAGUAAAAGAAGGAUUUCAUUCUAGCGGUCCGCAGUAGUCUAGAUGUUUUUGUCUAUGUAUUUGUAUAACGCAUUUUGAACUCUGAUGUUUUUAUGUAAAAUGGGGUCACAUGUAUUUUGAUAUAUGAAAUAUGAUUUGAUUUGCGAAAAAUUUACACAGGAUUUUAGGCUUGCUACGGGUUUCGGAGCUACCACUCCCAUUCCCUAGCGCCGGUCGCGACUCAUAAAUUUGGGUCGUGACAAAGGUGGUAUCAGAGCAAUGGUUUAGAUUCAUAGGCCAUUGCCUGUAUACGAUUGAUGUCUGUAGUUCCUAGGUAUGAUGUCACUAGGUUAAGCUAAGAACUACUGCGGAUUAUAGGAAUUUCCAGUCAUGUCUUUUGAACGUUAUCAUCUUUUUCAUCGAUUUUUCAAUCAUUUUACAAAGACGUCCCCUCCUAUAUGUGCUAUUAGGAGUCGAGUUAGGAAUGUGCAUGAGCACAAUUUAUGUUUUGUGUUUACUCGAGUAAGCAAUACGCUAUAGUCUGCGAAGAGUUAUAUACUCUCGAGACUCAUAUGAUAGAAGAAUAUUGUUAUGGACUAUGAUUGAAUUGAUUGAUUGGAUAUUAUAUGAUUGAUGAAUAAGAUAGGUAUUGUUUUGCGCUGCGAUCACUCAGGAGAGUGAUAUGAUCACAGGUAUGUAAGCCUAUGAUAAUUUAUGCGAUAAAGUGAAAUACGUGUUUGUGAUUGAUAAUAUGAGUAGGAUUUGUGUCUUACGAUUAGACGCUAAUUAGUUCUGUUAAGUCUAUAUUGAGUGGAAAGCUCACAUGACUUAAUAUACGAUACGUAGCUAAAGAAAAUCUAGGGGACACAAGAUUUUCUUUGAAAUUGAUUAACAUAGACGCUCAUAACUACGAUAGUGAUACGCACGGAACAUAUACUAUGCAAGUAUAUGUUCUGACGAUUUGCUAAGUCUACAAUGAGUAAGAAUACUCAGAAGACUUGCAAUACGAGACAAGGACAUAGAAAGACCAGAGAAAGGAGAACAAAGUCAAUACGCGAGGGAUGCAACAUUCCAUCUGAUAAGAUACCACGGGUGACACGAACCAACCAUCUCCUUAAAGACGGAGUUUGUCGCGGCAAUUUCUAGUUAGACACAAAACGCUAGAAGCUCAAUAGCGAUUAAACCUUUUGAGCUAGUCUAGUGUAAACAUGAACGCUUAGAACGUACUUUUCGAACGACGUCAAAAGCGGACGAGUAGAAUUACAUCUUUUUGUAUGCAAAAGAUGUACAUAGAUUGCGAACAAUAGUACGAUAAAUGAUAAGAACGAGUAUUAUACAGAGUCUAAUGUCAAAGAAACUUACGUAAACCCCGUUUUAUGAAAAGAAAAGUAUUUGAUCGAAAUAAAAUGUUUUGAAAAGACAUAAUUGUGCCCGGACACGAAUCAUAAAAACAUCGCAUUGACACGAAUAGAAUUGCAUCACUACAUCCAUAUUGCAUUCACUAGUAGGACAUGCACCAUAUACAUUGUGUGUCUGAAAAGAAAAGAGGAGUGUCAUUGCAACUCUUGUGAUGAGAGAUGUCAUCACACCGGUGCACAAUUAUGACAUGAUUUCAGAAAUGAAAAGUAUCGUGGUUUUAAACGGAUGAGUUUCCAAACGUAAGUAAGCUCAGACAAAGACUCUGUAUAUAGAGGCGUAGGACAAGACUGAUCAUCUUGUUAGGCCUAUAUGAAAACAUACGUAUGUAAUAUGACAAGUAUAUAGAAUGACGAAUAGUGUAAUGCGAAUCGCAACGUAUCGAGAAUUGAAUUGCAGAUCUCUAAGGCAGUCUUGUAUAUUAAAUACAAGAACAACGACGCUACUUUACAAACAUGUAAAGUGAUAGCGGUCACGUUUAAACUCGAAGCACGUUUACCUCUAGGACGAGGAAAUCGAACAUAGAAGUUAGUUACAAAAGAGACGUGAAUCCACGUGCAAGAAGAUAUUAUUGUAGUCGAUCGAAGAAGAAGGGAUUGAUUCAUAGUGAUUAUGAAUCAAGCAAUAAUAAGAUGGUUAGGAUUGUUAGCAUAAUAAUUUACUCGAUAAGUAUAUCGAGAUGACCGUAUAAACCUAAUUGUAAAGUCAACAGUUAGUGAAUAAUUAAUCAGAGUAUCGCAGCGGAAGUGUGGAAGGAAGUGAAUGAUAAGGUUUGAACAAGGAUUGGUUAAGUGAUAUUAGAAGAUUAUGAAAAUUCGAGGACGAAUUUUUAUAAGGGGGGAAGAUUGUAAUAACCUAAAUUUUUGAGGUAUUACGUGUAGCGCCACGAGGCAUAAUCGUAAGGAUUAAGAAUGAGACUAUCAGAUUAAGACUGGAUAAUAAGGACUUAGACCGAAGCGGGUCUAUUGGAAUUAUCGUAAAAUAAUAAAUUUAAUUGAAAAUUAUUAUGCGAUCAAUUGGAUUUAAUCGGGACUAAAGGGAAUAAAAUAAAAUAAGUUGGAAAGCCCGAGCUAAUAAUUUUCAUGCCAAGAUCCGUGAAUAAUUUUUAGAAAUUAUGGAAAAAGUUUCAUAACUUUCAGACAUUGUUUAGUUAAGCAUGUCAGUUAAUAGAGAAGUUGAGGUAAAAUGUAAAUUAGCCACUUUAAGGACUAAAGUGGACUUUUAACCACAAACUUCCGGAGGAAGUUGUGUUUUACUCUAUUUUCUCAAGAUAAGAAAAUAAUAUCGAUAAAGUUGUUAUCAAUGGUCAAUAAAAUGAAAAUUGGACGAAAAAGUGAGAAAAAGUGCAAGUUAGCUCAAAAUGGAAAUUUGAGCGUUUUUGGCCAAAAUUGCCAAAAUAUAUUAUUGGAAAGUGAUAUUAAAAGAUAUGAGACUAAUGUUAUUUAUUUGGAAAAUAAAUAAUACGGAACUUAUCGAGAAUCGAAUGAUUAAAAGAUUAGUGCACUAAAUUGUACGAAAGAUAAGCUAGAAAGUGAAGAGAAAGGAGGUGACAACUUCAAGGACCUAAGUGGACUUUUUACCCACUUAUUAUCAUCUUUUAUGAAUGAAUAAUCAUUCAUUUAAACACAAAAUUGCAGCAAACCAAAGGUGAAAUCCGUAGCUCUUCAUUUCCAAAUUCUCCAAAAAUCUUCAUAUCUUUUUCGUUUCUCAACGAAAUUGAGCGAUUCUUGCGGCCACGGAACGAGGAAGUGAUUAUCUACAACUCUAUGGCAUCAAUUUAAGUGUAAUUGUAAGCUUGUAAUGAAGGUUAUGGAUGAUGAAAUUGGAGCUUUAAACCUACGGCAAUAGAGACAUCAUCAAGGGAUGGUAUGAUAUGAUUUGAAGAGUUAAGCUUCCGAAGUUUUAAUUCUCGGAAGUCAUUUGCACAAGAAGUAAAAGAAGGAUUUCAUUCUAGCGGUCCGCAGUAGUCUAGAUGUUUUUGUCUAUGUAUUUGUAUAACGCAUUUUGAACUCUGAUGUUUUUAUGUAAAAUGGGGUCACAUGUAUUUUGAUAUAUGAAAUAUGAUUUGAUUUGCGAAAAAUUUACACAGGAUUUUAGGCUUGCUACGGGUUUCGGAGCUACCACUCCCAUUCCCUAGCGCCGGUCGCGACUCAUAAAUUUGGAUCGUGACAAAGGUGGUAUCAGAGCAAUGGUUUAGAUUCAUAGGCCAUUGCCUGUAUACGAUUGAUGUCUGUAGUUCCUAGGUAUGAUGUCACUAGGUUAAGCUAAGAACUACUGCGGAUUAUAGGAAUUUCCAGUCAUGUCUUUUGAACGUUAUCAUCUUUUUCAUCGAUUUUUCAAUCAUUUUACAAAGACGUCCCCUCCUAUAUGUGCUAUUAGGAGUCGAGUUAGGAAUGUGCAUGAGCACAAUUUAUGUUUUGUGUUUACUCGAGUAAGCAAUACGCUAUAGUCUGCGAAGAGUUAUAUACUCUCGAGACUCAUAUGAUAGAAGAAUAUUGUUAUGGACUAUGAUUGAAUUGAUUGAUUGGAUAUUAUAUGAUUGAUGAAUAAGAUAGGUAUUGUUUUGCUCUGCGAUCACUCAGGAGAGUGAUAUGAUCACAGGUAUGUAAGCCUAUGAUAAUUUAUGCGAUAAAGUGAAAUACGUGUUUGUGAUUGAUAAUAUGAGUAGGAUUUGUGUCUUACGAUUAGACGCUGAUUAGUUCUGUUAAGUCUAUAUUGAGUGGAAAGCUCACAUGACUUAAUAUACGAUACGUAGCUAAAGAAAAUCUAGGGGACACAAGAUUUUCUUUGAAAUUGAUUAACAUAGACGCUCAUUACUACGAUAGUGAUACGCACGGAACAUAUACUAUGCAAGUAUAUGUUCUGACGAUUUGCUAAGUCUACAAUGAGUAAGAAUACUCAGAAGACUUGCAAUACGAGACAAGGACAUAGAAAGACCAGAGAAAGGAGAACAAAGUCAAUACGCGAGGGAUGCAACAUUCCAUCUGAUAAGAUACCACGGGUGACACGAACCAACCAUCUCCUUAAAGACGGAGUUUGUCGCGGCAAUUUCUAGUUAGACACAACCAAUAGACCGUAUAGUAGAAGCAAACGUCGUGAAGUCCAAACGCUAGAAGCUCAAUAGCGAUUAAACCUUUUGAGCUAGUCUAGUGUAAACAUGAACGCUUAGAACGUACUUUUCGAACGACGUCAAAAGCGGACGAGUAGAAUUACAUCUUUUUGUAUGCAAAAGAUGUACAUAGAUUGCGAACAAUAGUACGAUAAAUGAUAAGAACGAGUAUUUUACAGAGUCUAAUGUCAAAGAAACUUACGUAAACCCCGUUUUAUGAAAAGAAAAGUAUUUGAUCGAAAUAAAAUGUUUUGAAAAGACAUAAUUGUGCCCGGACACGAAUCAUAAAAACAUCGCAUUGACACGAAUAGAAUUGCAUCACUACAUCCAUAUUGCAUUCACUAGUAGGACAUGCACCAUAUACAUUGUGUGUCUGAAAAGAAAAGAGGAGUGUCAUUGCAACUCUUGUGAUGAGAGAUGUCAUCACACCGGUGCACAAUUAUGACAUGAUUUCAGAAAUGAAAAGUAUCGUGGUUUUAAACGGAUGAGUUUCCAAACGUAAGUAAGCUCAGACAAAGACUCUGUAUAUAGAGGCGUAGGACAAGACUGAUCAUCUUGUUAGGCCUAUAUGAAAACAUACGUAUGUAAUAUGACAAGUAUAUAGAAUGACGAAUAGUGUAAUGCGAAUCGCAACGUAUCGAGAAUUGAAUUGCAGAUCUCUAAGGCAGUCUUGUAUAUUAAAUACAAGAACAACGACGCUACUUUACAAACAUGUAAAGUGAUAGCGGCCACGUUUAAACUCGAAGCACGUUUACCUCUAGGACGAGGAAAUCGAACAUAGAAGUUAGUUACAAAAGAGACGUGAAUCCACGUGCAAGAAGAUAUUAUUGUAGUCGAUCGAAGAAGAAGGGAUUGAUUCAUAGUGAUUAUGAAUCAAGCAAUAAUAAGAUGGUUAGGAUUGUUAGCAUAAUAAUUUACUCGAUAAGUAUAUCGAGAUGACCGUAUAAACCUAAUUGUAAAGUCAACAGUUAGUGAAUGAUUAAUCAGAGUAUCGCAGCGGAAGUGUGGAAGGAAGUGAAUGAUAAGGUUUGAACAAGGAUUGGUUAAGUGAUAUUAGAAGAUUAUGAAAAUUCGAGGACGAAUUUUUAUAAGGGGGGAAGAUUGUAAUAACCUAAAUUUUUGAGGUAUUACGUGUAGCGCCACGAGGCAUAAUCGUAAGGAUUAAGAAUGAGACUAUCAGAUUAAGACUGGAUAAUAAGGACUUAGACCGAAGCGGGUCUAUUGGAAUUAUCGUAAAAUAAUAAAUUUAAUUGAAAAUUAUUAUGCGAUCAAUUGGAUUUAAUCGAGACUAAAGGGAAUAAAAUAAGUUGGAAAGCCCGAGCUAAUAAUUUUCAUGCCAAGAUCCGUGAAUAAUUUUUAGAAAUUAUGGAAAAAGUUUCAUAACUUUCAGACAUUGUUUAGUUAAGCAUGUCAGUUAAUAGAGAAGUUGAGGUAAAAUGUAAAUUAGCCACUUUAAGGACUAAAGUGGACUUUUAACCACAAACUUCCGGAGGAAGUUGUGUUUUACUCUAUUUUCUCAAGAUAAGAAAAUAAUAUCGAUAAAGUUGUUAUCAAUGGUCAAUAAAAUGAAAAUUGGACGAAAAAGUGAGAAAAAGUGCAAGUUAGCUCAAAAUGGAAAUUUGAGCGUUUUUGGCCAAAAUUGCCAAAAUAUAUUAUUGGAAAGUGAUAUUAAAAGAUAUGAGACUAAUGUUAUUUAUUUGGAAAAUAAAUAAUACGGAACUUAUCGAGAAUCGAAUGAUUAAAAGAUUAGUGCACUAAAUUGUACGAAAGAUAAGCUAGAAAGUGAAGAGAAAGGAGGUGACAACUUCAAGGACCUAAGUGGACUUUUUACCCACUUAUUAUCAUCUUUUAUGAAUGAAUAAUCAUUCAUUUAAACACAAAAUUGCAGCAAACCAAAGGUGAAAUCCGUAGCUCUUCAUUUCCAAAUUCUCCAAAAUUUCAAAUCUUCAUAUCUUUUUCGUUUCUCAACGAAAUUGAGCGAUUCUUGCGGCCACGGAACGAGGAAGUGAUUAUCUACAACUCUAUGGCAUCAAUUUAAGUGUAAUUGUAAGCUUGUAAUGAAGGUUAUGGAUGAUGAAAUUGGAGCUUUAAACCUACGGCAAUAGAGACAUCAUCAAGCCACGAAGACGACGUCAACUAAGAUGAGACCGACGAAGAUGAGACCGCUGCUGAGGAAGACAACACGUUUGUUUUUGCUGCUCCUCGAAUCUUCCGUUCAUCGUCAUCAAUGCUGCUCCUCCUUUUUAUUUCUUCGAAGAAAAAAAAAAGAAACGAACGGUUCGAAAACGGCGAUGGUUUAAAAGACGAGACAUGGAAUUUCUGCAGCGGUGAUGAAAUUUCUUCUUCUGAUGAUGAGGUGCCGUGAUCGUGAUGUGAUUAUUUGGAUUGCUUUGAUUAAUGGGUAUGUGAAAUCUGGUCACAUUUUGAUUGCACAGUGACUGUUCGAUAAAAUGCCUAAGAGAAACUCUAUUUCUUGGAAUGCCAUGAUUUUUGAAAUUUUUGGGUAUGUUCAAGUUGGCUUGAUUUCUGGAAUUUCUGAGAUUCGAGCAUAUGCGGAGUUUGUUGGAUUGUACUGUAAAUUGAAGAGAAGAAGCAGUAGAUCUGGUGUUUCUUCU